rnacentral:rRNA from 1 species
GCGCUUCGGGAGGGGCCUGCGUCCGAUUAGCUCGUUGGUGGGGUAACGGCUCACCAAGGCGACGAUCGGUAGGUGGUCUGAGAGGACGAUCACCCAGACUGGGACUGAGACACGGCCCAG